CAAAUUAAGAACCUAUUCUGCAGCAGCAAUAGCUGCAAGAAUGGUUUCCUCUCCUCAGUUCUUCACGCCAAAACCCCCUCCCCUCUAACUUCGAUUUGGACAAAAUGAAGCAAACGAUAUCGACGGCGCGCCUCUGCUGGUGCGUGGAGGACGUGCGUAGCGUUCGUGCGGGGCUACCAUGCGCGCGAGCAAGGACGUGGGGGCAAUGGGCAGUUGCUACGGCAUUGAGAAAGGGAAAACAAAAACUGCUGCUAGGGUCUUAUGGUUUUUUUCUUGGGCUAUACUGUAGUUGGGCUUGGGUUUAAGUUAAUGGGAUUGUAGUUUGGGUUAUUUGGGUUAAAUGUAUUUAGUUUUAGUAUUUGAUUUGGGCUGUGUAAAUGGUUUUGGGCCCCGGGCAAUAAUUGGCUAUUACAGGUAAUAUUUGGAAAGUCACUUAAUAAUUUGAUUCAAGUUUAAUUGUUUGUAAUUACACAAUGGUGGUAUGUUUGGGUAACCAUUGUGAUUGGUGGAUCCGGCUAAAUUUGAUGUAAUCGGAGCACCCCAAUUGCACUUUUCAA